CAGUGCUGUGAGCUCAGAAGCAGAAUGCUGGGACAUCUCUACCAUGGCCUGGACCCCUCUUCUGCUCCACCUCCUCACUUUCUGCACAGAUGC
rnacentral:pre_miRNA from 1 species